UUGUGCAGCCUCGUCACCCUCUGCACGCGCCCCUCUGCAUGUCUGAUCCACACGCACUAACCAGGCUUCCUGUCCACACAGCCAGACCGCCAGCGGGUGCUCCGGGCCGACUGCCCCCAGACGCGCAGCACGCGGCACACGGUUUCUCCUCAGAAAAGAAAGGUGACCAGUAGCCCGAGGAGUGUGGGGGCAGGGAGAGCCGGGCGGGGUGCUCGCUGCCUGUGACGGUGGCUCGUGUCCGCCAGCUGCCCUCCACCUGCCCCGCCACCGUGUGACGCCUGGGCCCGGGCAGAGGAAAAGGCUCUGACAGCUGAGAUCCCGUGGGGUCUGGAGGCCAGGGUGACACAGCCCACACACCGCCGUGUCCUCGGCACAGACUGGCAGGCGGAUUGCGCGCCACUUCCUGAGACCCCGGCACAUGCGAUGGGGUGCACAGGGGCGGCUCCGUGAUCCCGGCAACUCCCCGCUGGUGCGAGAUUGUAUUUGACGGGAAUACAUGCUCCCCAGGGAAAGUGUCCGCUGGUACAGGUUGGCUCUGAGGGUCUUUAGGGGGCUCAGCCUGUAGGCGGUUUAGCCGGGCCUCACUCGGGGCCUCACUCCUGGCCUCAGAGACCCAAAGGCAGGACUGAGGAGGUGUAGAUCCUUGUGGGAACCACAUGAGCGCUUCAACCUGAAUAAAAUCAUCAACUUGCCACUUUUCCUUCCUCGAGGUGCGGAGAACGGGGCGCCGCCUUCGUGUGGGGCGACUAGACCGUGAGGGGAGUCCUGGCCUGAGGGGCACCCCUGGCUGCGCCCGUGUGUGUCCAGAAGCAGCUCAGAGACCUGGGGUUUGCGGCUAAAUGUGCGGUUUUCUUUCCUGUGGAUUCGAGUGGCUGUUAAUGAAAAGCAUAACCCCGACUUCUCACACCAAUUAAAAUGAAGAACAAAUGUA